AGAACGAACGCUGGCGGCAGGCUUAACACAUGCAAGUCGAGCGAGGACUUCGGUCCUAGCGGCGGACGGGUUAGUAACGCGUGGGAACGUGCCCCUUUCUUCGGAAUAGCCUCGGGAAACUGGGAGGUAAUGCCGGAUACGCCGAGCCAUUGAGAGAUGGUUUGGGAAAGAUUUAUCGGAGAGGGAUCGGCCCGCGUUGGAUUAGGUAGUUGGUGGGGUAACGGCCUACCAAGCCGACGAUCCAUAGCUGGUUUGAGAGGAUGAUCAGCAACACUGGGACUGAGACACGGCCCAGACUCCUACGGGAGGCAGCAGUGGGGAAUCUUGGACAAUGGGGGCGAACCCUGAUCCAGCCAUGCCGCGUGAUCGAUGAAGGCCUUAGGGUUGUAAAGAUCUUUCAGCGGGGAAGAUAAUGACGGUACCGCAGAAGAAGCCCCGGCUAACUCCGUGCCAGCAGCCGC
rnacentral:rRNA from 1 species